AUGAUGGAUAGGCCAAGUACAUCUUCGAACCCACUCUUCAUCGAGCAAGAUGAGGACUCAAACACCUUCGUCACCAAGAACUACCUCGUCGGCGCACAAAGAGCUUUGCAUCAAGAACAACAAGCAUUGAGUGACCGCAUCGACAACCUCGCCACCGACUUGCAACAAUCUGAGCAACGUACAAGAGACUACUUCGACAACAAACUUGAUGCACAAAAAAUGGAAACCGACGCAUGGAUGGAUGAAAUUUAUGCCUUGUUGGUCAACUGUUCUUCUACCUCUUCGUCAUAUUCAAGACGGAUUCACUCGAGCCGACAUUCCUACAACAACAUAUCUGGAUCAAGUACACCGACAUCGAACACUCUUCGUCGAGCCGUGCGCCAUGAAUGCCAAGCAAAUCACAAUCUUCUACACGACAAUAGUCCACAAGAGCAACUCGAAGAGCAAGAACAUCGGCAUCGUCAAAAUCAAGCUAUCCUUGCGCAAGCACAAGAAAGGCAACACCAACACCACCAAGAGGAAGCGCAAGAACGCCAACACCAACGAGAGCAAUUGCAAGAGCGGCAACACCAACAUCAAGACAAGAUGCCGACGUUCUACGUCAAGAACAACAACGGCGCGAAGCACAAGCCCAUUUAG
rnacentral:rRNA from 1 species